CAUUUGCACACACUGUUCAUAGAUUUUUCUAUUGUGUUAUUGACUCUACGUUUGUUUGUAACUCUUUUGUUUUUGUCGCACUGCUUUGCUUUAUCUUGGCCAGGUCGCAGUUGUAAAUGAGAACUUGUUCUCAACUGGCCUACCUGGUUAAAUAAAGGUGAAAUAAAAAAAUGAAGACCAUCAGUCGGUUGAUGCAGUCAUUUUGAGCGAGGAUGGAAGCCCCUCACGAAAGCAUCAAAGAUCUGAUGACGAGGCAAACAAUCUAAUAGAGAGAAUAAUUAAGGAAAAGCCUGGUGGAGAGGUUGUCAUCAAGGAGUACUACAAAACUAAAAGCCUGAUUGACUGCACCAGACGAAAGAUGAUCAAUAUUCUUGUUUCGGCGAUGACAGACUCUCACGGGUAAGUUUAAAGUAAAGAUGCAUAAUGAAAAUUGUUGAGCAUUACUAGCUCUCAUAUCUGCUCAAUGUUAAAAAUGACUUCUGUAUCAGUAUCUCAGUCACAUAAUUGGUUAGGCUAAUGCUUACCAUCCACUGCUAUUGGUAGAAGAUUUCUCUUGUAUCAAAUUCGAUGGGCAUGAUACUGAUUCAAAAAUCACUCCUGAUAUUUAGCUUACUGGGGACCAAAGCAAAUGGGAUUUGGUUAUUUGUUUUUUCUUUCAAGAUUAGUAACCAUGUUCAUUUUCUUAAAGAACAAUAUUACGACCCUAAUAUUAAAGGGUACCUCGCGUAUCGAAUGAAAACCGUUCAGAGGUAUUUGGCUUCAUCUGAGAAACGGCCCACUCAACUAUAAUAUGGAGGGCCAGCUGCUGAGAGGGAGUCCAGUUCAUCCACUUUGGCUACCCUGAGUGAAGACCGGUGCAGAGAUGCCAUUCCUCUUAUGAAGCAUUGUUCUGAUGAAAGUCAAACAGAAGAUGAGAUUGACCUUUGAGUACAGGAAGAAGAUGACCCACGACCCGAGUAAAUGCUCCACCAUCCUAACCGAAUUUCCACGCUUUCUGGAUGUGAAGGGCUUGAUUGAACAGUGUUUUGUGCUGCUGUUUGGAGAGGGAACAUCAAGUUUUUGGAGAGGUGACCAACUAUAUUCAAGCAAAAGAUCAUCAUGAUAAGCAAGGCCACUCAGGGAGCUGAACUUCAGGAGCUGAUCCAGAUGGCAGAUUCUGCAGUUAAUGAGGGAGCUGACAUGAA